UACCAGCACCCCGAGUGGUCGGGACGUUUAUUGGGCCUAAAGCAUCCGUAGCCGGUUCUACAAGUCUUCCGUUAAAUCCACCUGCUUAACAGAUGGGCUGCGGAGGAUACUAUGGAGCUAGGAGGCGGGAGAGGCAAGCGGUACUUAGUGGGUAGGGGUAAAAUCCGUUGAUCCAUUGAAGACCACCAGCGGCGAAGGCGGCUUGCCAGAACGCACUCGACGGUGAGGGAUGAAAGCUGGGGGAGCAAACCGG
rnacentral:rRNA from 1 species